rnacentral:rRNA from 1 species
GACGAACGCUGGCGGCGUGCUUAACACAUGCGAGUCGAACGCUGAAGCACCAGCUUGCUGGUGUGGAUGAGUGGCGAACGGGUGAGUAAUACGUGAGUAACCUGCCCUUGACUCUGGGAUAAGCCCGGGAAACUGGGUCUAAUACUGGAUGCUACAUGUCACCGCAUGGUGGUGUGUGGAAAGGGUUUACUGGUCUUGGAUGGGCUCACGGCCUAUCAGCUUGUUGGUGAGGUAAUGGCUCACCAAGGCGACGACGGGUAGCCGGCCUGAGAGGGUGACCGGCCACACUGGGACUGAGACACGGCCCAGACUCCUACGGGAGGCAGCAGUGGGGAAUAUUGCACAAUGGGCGAAAGCCUGAUGCAGCGACGCCGCGUGAGGGAGGACGGCCUUCGGGUUGUAAACCUCUUUCAGCAGGGAAGAAGCCACAAGUGACGGUACCUGCAGAAGAAGCGCCGGCUAACUACGUG